GACGAACGCUGGCGGCGUGCUUAACACAUGCAAGUCGAACGCUGAAGCCCAGCUUGCUGGGUGGAUGAGUGGCGAACGGGUGAGUAACACGUGAGUAACCUGCCCCCUUCUUUGGGAUAACGCCCGGAAACGGGUGCUAAUACUGGAUAUUCACUGAUCCUCGCAUGGGGGUUGGUGGAAAGGUUUUUUCUGGUGGGGGAUGGGCUCGCGGCCUAUCAGCUUGUUGGUGGGGUGAUGGCCUACCAAGGCUUUGACGGGUAGCCGGCCUGAGAGGGUGACCGGUCACAUUGGGACUGAGAUACGGCCCAGACUCCUACGGGAGGCAGCAGUGGGGAAUAUUGCACAAUGGGCGAAAGCCUGAUGCAGCGACGCCGCGUGAGGGAUGACGGCCUUCGGGUUGUAAACCUCUUUCGCUCAUGGUCAAGCCGCAACUGUGGGUUGUGGUGAGGGUAGUGGGUAAAGAAGCGCCGGCUAACUACGUGCCAGCAGCCGCGGUAAUACGUAGGGCGCGAGCGUUGUCCGGAAUUAUUGGGCGUAAAGGGCUUGUAGGCGGUUGGUCGCGUCUGCCGUGAAAUCCUCUGGCUUAACUGGGGGCGUGCGGUGGGUACGGGCUGACUUGAGUGCGGUAGGGGAGACUGGAACUCCUGGUGUAGCGGUGGAAUGCGCAGAUAUCAGGAAGAACACCGGUGGCGAAGGCGGGUCUCUGGGCCGUUACUGACGCUGAGGAGCGAAAGCGUGGGGAGCGAACAGG
rnacentral:rRNA from 1 species